AUUGAACGCUGGCGGCAGGCCUAACACAUGCAAGUCGAACGGUAGCACAGAGGAGCUUGCUCCUUGGGUGACGAGUGGCGGACGGGUGAGUAAUGUCUGGGAAACUGCCCGAUGGAGGGGGAUAACUACUGGAAACGGUAGCUAAUACCGCAUAACGUCGCAAGACCAAAGAGGGGGACCUUCGGGCCUCUUGCCAUCGGAUGUGCCCAGAUGGGAUUAGCUAGUAGGUGGGGUAACGGCUCACCUAGGCGACGAUCCCUAGCUGGUCUGAGAGGAUGACCAGCCACACUGGAACUGAGACACGGUCCAGACUCCUACGGGAGGCAGCAGUGGGGAAUAUUGCACAAUGGGCGCAAGCCUGAUGCAGCCAUGCCGCGUGUAUGAAGAAGGCCUUCGGGUUGUAAAGUACUUUCAGCGAGGAGGAAGGCGUUGUGGUUAAUAACCGCAACGAUUGACGUUACUCGCAGAAGAAGCACCGGCUAACUCCGUGCCAGUCGCCGCGGUA
rnacentral:rRNA from 1 species